AACGCACAUGGCGCCUUCCAGUAUCCUGGGAGGCAUGCCUGUCCGAGCGUCGUUUCAACCCUCGAGCCCCUGUGGCCCGGCGUUGGGGAUCUGCCACGGCAGGCCCCUAAAACCAGUGGCGGACCCGAUGGGCCCUCUCCUUUACGUAGUAGCAUUCGCCUCGUAUUGGGAGUCCUCGGCGUCCUGCCUCUAAACCCCCCACAAGCCCGCUCCGGCGGCACCAAGGUUGACCUCGGAUCAGGUAGGAAUACCCGCUGAACUUAA
rnacentral:misc_RNA from 1 species